UGUGUUUCCUCUUCUACAACAUUUAAAAGCAGUGCAUCCUUGCAGACUCAAAGCACUAUCUGUCGUCCAUCAGUCAUCAUGAAUCUAAUAACCGCAUUUCUGCUAAUGAUCCUAACAGGACAUAGCACAUCUGAAUAUCUGCAGAAACUCUUCUGCUCCUAUGAGAACAAGAACAUAACUCUGAGGCCCAGGGUGUGGUGCAAAAGAGAUGCCCAGGAUGAAAACUGCUGUACGGGCUUCUCUUUCCAGCCAAGCGUCAAGCAUUUGGAGCAAGGCAACAUAGCUGUGGAGGAUGAUGGAAAGUCCUUCACCAUCUCGGUAAAGACACUCACGCAAGGGGAUGGAGUCUACUGGUGUGGGUUCAUUACUGGAGACAAGAUCAUUGUAAAACUGGCCGAGGGUUACUUUAGCAACACUCCAUUUAACUUUGUUUGGUCCAUCCUCCGCUGGAUUUUAUUUAUUUUGCUCCCUGUGGCGAUCAUUUCAACUCACAUUUAUUCAAACAGAAAACAUGGAGAUGCUAAGACAACAUAACACAUUACAUGAUGUCACAUGCCACAGAAAAGUGGAUGGAAGAAUGAGGCCGUCACCUUUAAUGAAGAAUAAACACAAUAUCAUUUAACUUCAGCCACCAUCGAGUGUAAAGUGUGUUGUAAUUCCUUGUAAUUGUUUAGCUUUUUUUUGUUUUUAAAUACAAAAAGGUUCACAGUGACAAGCAGCAUGACAAUAUUUCAUUUUUUAUGUAAAUCAACGUACAAUUUGGUGC
rnacentral:lncRNA from 1 species